UACGUAGGGUGCGAGCGUUGUCCGGAAUUAUUGGGCGUAAAGAGCUUGUAGGCGGUUUGUCGCGUCUGCUGUGAAAUUUCGGGGCUCAACCCCGAACUUGCAGUGGGUACGGGCAGACUAGAGUGUGGUAGGGGAGACUGGAAUUCCUGGUGUAGCGGUGAAAUGCGCAGAUAUCAGGAGGAACACCGAUGGCGAAGGCAGGUCUCUGGGCCGAUACUGACGCUGAGGAGCGAAAGCGUGGGGAGCGAAUAGG
rnacentral:rRNA from 1 species